rnacentral:rRNA from 1 species
UACGGAGGGUGCAAGCGUUAUCCGGAAUCAUUGGGUUUAAAGGGUACGUAGGCGGUACUAUAAGUCAGAGGUGAAAGUUUGCAGCUUAACUGUAAAAUUGCCUUUGAAACUGUAGUACUUGAGAUAGGACGCCGUUGGCGGAAUGUGUAGUGUAGCGGUGAAAUGCUUAGAUAUUACACAGAACACCGAUUGCGAAGGCAGCUAACGAGGCCUAUUCUGACGCUGAGGUACGAAAGCGUGGGUAGCGAACGGG